GCAAAAGCAUUGAAGAAGAUAUAGUACAUCUUUCCCGCUGAUUUAAGAGAGCUUGUGGUGCUGAAAACAAGUAUCAUGGGAAGGUGGAAUUGGGCUUUGGAGCUUUAUUUUACUAAUGAAGUGAUUCUAUUUAUAGAAUAAUCAGGGUGGCAACGCGGUUCAUUCGUCCCUAUU
rnacentral:ncRNA from 1 species